rnacentral:rRNA from 1 species
UACGAAGGGGGCUAGCGUUGCUCGGAAUCACUGGGCGUAAAGGGUGCGUAGGCGGGUCUUUAAGUCAGGGGUGAAAUCCUGGAGCUCAACUCCAGAACUGCCUUUGAUACUGAAGAUCUUGAGUUCGGGAGAGGUGAGUGGAACUGCGAGUGUAGAGGUGAAAUUCGUAGAUAUUCGCAAGAACACCAGUGGCGAAGGCGGCUCACUGGCCCGAUACUGACGCUGAGGUGCGAAAGCGUGGGGAGCAAACGGG